GACUGGAUAGGAGACAAGAGGGCAUCUUCUUGUUUUUAAAGACCUAGCAAUAGGUAUGCUUAGGGAGGAGCUUGCGUCACAUUAGUUAGUUGGUGGGGUAAAGGCCUACCAAGACUAUGAUGUGUAGCCGGGCUGAGAGGUUGAACGGCCACAUUGGGACUGAGACACGGCCCAAACUCCUACGGGAGGCAGCAGUAGGGAAUUUUCGGCAAUGGAGGAAACUCUGACCGAGCAACGCCGCGUGAACGAUGAAGUAUUUCGGUACGUAAAGUUCUUUUAUUAGGGAAGAAUAAAUGAUGGAAAAAUCAUUCUGACGGUACCUAAUGAAUAAGCCCCGGCUAACUAUGUGCCAGCAGCCGCGGUAAUACAUAGGGGGCAAGCGUUAUCCGGAAUUAUUGGGCGUAAAGGGUGCGUAGGCGGUUAAAUAAGUUUAUGGUCUAAGUGCAAUGCUCAACAUUGUGAUGCUAUAAAAACUGUUUAGCUAGAGUAAGAUAGAGGCAAGUGGAAUUCCAUGUGUAGUGGUAAAAUGCGUAAAUAUAUGGAGGAACACCAGUAGCGAAGGCGGCUUGCUGGGUCUUUACUGACGCUGAGGCACGAAAGCGUGGGGAGCAAACAGGAUUAGAUACCCUGCGCCGUAAACGAUGAGUACUAAACGUUGGGUAAAACCAGUGUUGAAGUUAACACAUUAAGUACUCCGCCUGAGUAGUACGUACGCAAGUAUGAAACUUAAAGGAAUUGACGGGACUCCGCACAAGCGGUGGAUCAUGUUGUUUAAUUCGAAGGUACCCGAAAAACCUCACCAGGUCUUGACAUGCUUCUGCAAAGCUGUAGAAACACAGUGGAGGUUAUCAGUUGCACAGGUGGUGCAUGGUUGUCGUCAGCUCGUGUCGUGAGAUGUUGGGUUAAGUCCCGCAACGAGCGCAACCCUUAUUGUUAGUUACCAGCACGUAAUGGUGGGGACUUUAGCAAGACUGCCAGUGAUAAAUUGGAGGAAGGUGGGGACGACGUCAAAUCAUCAUGCCCCUUAUGACCUGGGCUACAAACGUGAUACAAUGGCUGUUACAAAGGGUAGCUGAAGCGCAAGUUUUUGGCGAAUCUCAAAAAAACAGUCUCAGUUCGGAUUG
rnacentral:rRNA from 1 species